rnacentral:rRNA from 1 species
UACGUAGGGGGCGAGCGUUGUCCGGAAUUACUGGGCGUAAAGGGCGCGCAGGCGGCCGUGUAAGUCCGCUGUGAAAGACCGGGGCUCAACCCCGGGGUGUCAGCGGGGACUGCACGGCUGGAGUCCCGGAGAGGGAGGCGGAAUACCUGGUGUAGCGGUGGAAUGCGUAGAGAUCAGGUGGAACACCGAUGGCGAAGGCAGCCUCCUGGACGGGUACUGACGCUGAGGCGCGAAAGCGUGGGGAGCGAACAGG